rnacentral:rRNA from 1 species
CCCUUAGAUGUUCUGGGCCGCACGCGCGCUACACUGAUGCAUUCAACGAGUUUCUUCCUGGUCCGAGAGGAAUGGGUAACCUUUUGAAAGCGCAUCGUGAUAGGGAUAGACUAUUGCAAUUAUUGGUCUUCAACGAGGAAUUCCUAGUAGACGUAGUUCAUCAGACUGCAUCGAUUACGUCCCUGCCCUUUGUACACACCGCCCGUCGCUCCUACCGAUUGAAUGCUCAGGUGAGCCAUUCGGACUUUCACCAUGCUGGUUUCCAGUUUUGAUGAAGGAAAGUCUUGCGAACCUUAUCAUUUAGAGGAAGGAGAAGUCGUAACA